CCUACGGGAGGCAGCAGUGAGGAAUAUUGGUCAAUGGCCGUAAGACUGAACCAGCCAAGUAGCGUGCAGGAAGACGGCCCUACGGGUUGUAAACCUCUUUUAUCCGGGGGCAAAACGAGUCACGUGUGACUCAUUGUAAGUACCCCAUGAAUAAGGAUCGGCUAAUUCCGUGCCAGCAGCCGCGGUAAUACGGAGGGUGCGAGCGUUAUCCGGAUUUUAUGGGGUUAAAGGGUGCGCAGGCCGGAGGUGAAGCGCGCCGUCAAAUGGCGGGGCUUAACCACCGCACUGCGGUGGAAACUGGAUUGCUUGAGUGCGCGAGACGUAUGCGGAAUGCGUGGUGUAGCGGUGAAAUGCAUAGAUAUCACGAAGAACUCCGAUUGCGAAGGCAGCAUACGGGAGCGCAACUGACGCUGAUGCACGAAGGCGUGGGUAUCGAACAGGAUUAGAUACCCGAGUAGUC
rnacentral:rRNA from 1 species